rnacentral:rRNA from 1 species
AUUGAACGCUAGCGGGAUGCUUUACACAUGCAAGUCGAACGGCAGCGCGGACUUCGGUCUGGCGGCGAGUGGCGAACGGGUGAGUAAUGUAUCGGAAGGUGCCCAGUCGCGGGGGAUAACUACGCGAAAGCGGAGCUAAUACCGCAUACGCCCUCCGGGGGAAAGUAAGGGAUCGUAAGACAUUGCACUUUUGGAAAAGCCGAUUACAGAUUAGCUAGUUGGUGAGGUAACGGCGCACCAAGGCGACGAUCCGUAGCUGGUUUGAGAGGGCGACCAGCCACACUGGGACUGAGACACGGCCCAGACUCCUACGGGAGGCAGCAGUGGGGAAUUUUGGACAAUGGGCGAAACCCUGAUCGAGCCACGCCGCGUGUGCGAUGAAGGUCUUCGGAUCGUAAAACACUUUUGGCAGGAAAGAAACGUCGCGAGCUAAUACCUCGUCGAACUGACGGUACCUACAGAAAAAGCACCGGCUAACUACGUG